AUCACUAUGGGUUCUGAGUGGUCCAGGUGAAUGAAAGAAAGAAGUGCUAAAUGCUACAUGGACCAAGCUAUGAAGAGAAUGUUUAGACAGCACAGUCCCAGCAGAGCUGAUGUCAUUGAACACUGUGAAAGGAAAACGGAUCUGUGUGGGAGAAGGCCUGGCCUCCAUUUUGCAG